GAACUUAAGCAUAUCAAUAAGCGGAGGAAAAGAAACUAACAAGGAUUCCCCUAGUAACGGCGAGUGAACCGGGAAGAGCUCAAAUUUGUAAUCUGGCGUGCUCCGUGCGUCCGAGUUGUAAUCUACAGAAGCGUUUUCUGUGCCGGACUGUGUCCAAGUCCCUUGGAACAGGGUAUCAAAGAGGGUGACAAUCCCGUGCUUGACACAACGACCGGUGCUUUGUGAUACGUUUUCUACGAGUCGAGUUGUUUGGGAAUGCAGCUCAAAAUGGGUGGUAAAUUCCAUCUAAAGCUAAAUAUUGGCGAGAGACCGAUAGUGAACAAGUACCGUGAGGGAAAGAUGAAAAGCACUUUGGAAAGAGAGUUAAACAGUACGUGAAAUUGUUGAAAGGGAAACGAUUGAAGUCAGUCGUGUCUAUUGGAUUCAGCCGGUUCUGCCGGUCUACUUCCUUUGGACGGGUCAACAUCAGUUAAAGUCGGUGGAAAAGGGCUGGAGGAAGGUAGCUCUCACGAGUGUUAUAGCCUCCUGUCGCAUACACUGGCCUUGACUGAGGAAUGCAGCUCGCCGCAAGGCAGGGGUUCGCCCACUUACGAGCUUAGGAUGUUGACAUAAUGGCUUUAAAC
rnacentral:rRNA from 1 species